rnacentral:lncRNA from 1 species
UUUCCUUGUUUUGUUAAUUGUCAAUUAAUUCGCCAUUAAGGCAAGAUCACAAUAAUAUUACAAUGUGUGUAUAUAAAUACGCACUUUAAAGAGAAGAAGAGGGGAGAGGAGAAAAAUCCAAUUUCAGAAAGAGAACAUAAGGGAACAAAAAAAAAGGAGUGGGGCAAAGAGGCACGUGCACAGAUGAAUGAACAACUUUCUGUGGAAGCUUUUUGUGGUGUAGUGGAGGACCUUUAAGGCAGCUUCAGAAGGGUGGAGAUCAAUUUCCUAGUUAUAUUUCCUUUCCCAUUCUUAUUGGACUUUUUGUUUUCAUUUUAUUUUCUUUUCUUUUAUUUCUUUGGUUUUUGUAUAUUGUUUUAUUAUUGAUGGUUUGUUGUACUCGUUUUUUAAUAAAAG